rnacentral:rRNA from 1 species
AUGGGUGAAGAGGCUCCUGAGUUUCGCGUUGACCCCAUCACCUUGGGGUCCAAGGAUUGCCAACAGAAUGCCAUAGUUGUUGGCGAUAAGACAUAUGUAAUUGGCAGAACAGAUGAUGACUCGAAGUCAUCCUUUGGCAUUAAAAUUCUGGACAAACUAACUCAGACUUGGAUUGUGCCAACAGUACUUGGAGCACAGCCUCCAUCCAAGUCACACUCAGCAAUUCUUAUAAAUGAGGAGAAGAUAUUGGUUGUUGAGAAGGGUGUUUCCUUGAAUGAUUCCAUCUGGUUCCUUGAGAUAGAUACCCCCUUUGUUAAACAACAGCGGAAAAUCAAGGGUUUAGAAGUUGUUUCCUGGAGCAAGGGAGUACUUGGCGUCGCCCAAAAACCCGUUGUGAUUAGUGGGCCAUCUGGUGUUGGUAAAGGGACGCUAAUAGCAAAAUUGAUGAAAGAGUACCCAUCGAAAUUUGGGUUCUCUGUUAGCCACACUACAAGGUCUCCAAGGGUGAAGGAAAUAGAUGGUGUCCACUACCAUUUUGCUGGAAGAAGCAAGAUGGAACAAGAUAUAAGUGAGGGGGAAUUCCUUGAAUUUGCCCAUGUUCAUGGAAAUCUCUAUGGGACGAGUAUUGAAGCAGUUGAAUCUGUUACUGAUGAGGGGAAGAGGUGCAUUCUCGACAUUGAUGUCCAAGGAGCACGAUCUGUGAGGGCUUCUUCUCUUGAAGCAAUAUUCAUCUUUGUAUGCCCUCCGUCAUUCGAGGAACUAGAGAAGCGCCUUCGGGCACGGGGCACAGAAACGGAGGAGCAAAUCCAAAAGCGACUAAGAAAUGCUCGUGCUGAGCUUGACCAGUCCAAUUCACCAGGUCUUUUUGAUCAUCUUUUGGUAAAUGAUAACCUUGAAGCAUGCUAUGAGAAUUUGAAGAAGAUGCUUUCGUUGGAUGAUGACCACAAAGAUUCAGAUGGUUGUUUCAUCGAGGAUGGGAAAGCAACCGCAUGUUAUUCUAUCCUGUCCAAAACAGAGUCAGAAGUUUUUUUGCAGUCUGAAACUGGCGAAGUAGUAAAAGGAGCUGCAAGCUUGCUAGCGGUCGACUUAUCCUCUCUCACAGGUGGCGCUCCUGGACGAACAAGAGGUCUUAAGAUACACUCAAUUAACUCAAUUGACAACGAUCUGAAGGGCAUUAGAUAA